rnacentral:siRNA from 1 species
UUGGCUUGAACUUAUUCUCAAA